UGCUGCCUGUUUUCAAUAGAAUUUGUCAAUUCUUAUUCUUUGCCUCCAUCCACCAUGACUUUUUAGUUUUAGCAACACUGCCGCUGUACAUUAAAUAUAGAUGUAUGGGUGUUUCCUCUACACCUUCAGAGUUCUGACUCCAAGAAAUCGUAGCUUAUGUGAUCAUAAUUAGUGGGAAAAUCCAAGAUGCCUAACCCAGGGGCUCUUUGGUGCAAAUGCACCUAAUUUUCUGUUCAAUUUACUCUCCUCUCAAGUCAAG
rnacentral:misc_RNA from 1 species